rnacentral:tRNA from 1 species
GGAGGUGUGGCAGAGCGGUUUAUUGCAUCGGACUCAAAAUCCGACGGGGUCACCUCAGAGCCGUCCCCCGUGGGUUCGAAUCCCACCACCUCCG